UCAGAUCUCGCAAGAGGAACCCGGCGGAGCUGCUGGUUGAGCUCCCCGGGUCCUCUCCUGCCUCCCUCCAUGCUGUAGUGGGGAGGGAGGCUGAGAGCAGAGCCGGCGCUCGGAUAGCGCCGGCUCUGCAUGAGCCAACAGGGGGGAUCCUGAGAUCUCCCCUGCCGGUCUCACUCCAUAGGCGUGCCGCAUGGAUUAGGGUGUGCCCAGGCACACCCGGCACACCC